UGUGUGUGUGUGUGUGUGUGUGUGUGUGUGUGUGUGUGUGUUGAGAUAUUCAGUUAAGGCCUGGAGCUCAGAAUGCUGAAUUGGACUUCCUCCAGGAAAUCUUGCCCAGGCACAGCCUGUUCGAGCAUCUUGCUCAGAUGCUUCUUGACCACUUUUGACUUACCUUCAACAGCAAAUGAAAGGAAAUUUUUAAUCCUAAAUAUUGCAAGAGUCUGUGUUUUAUUCAUUUAUUCAACUGUCAUUCUUAAGGAGCUCAAGGAUGAUUUCUUGUCUCAUUUGUUGCAAUUUGUAUUCUCAGGGCUUGGCACUCUGGGUUCUCAGUAAUAUAUGUUGAAUGACUGAAGAUUUCAAGAUAUUUAGUCAUUUCCUUCUUUGAAUCAACAAAUUUCUAGCCAAAAGAAUUGAAAGCAGUUAUUCAAACAAAACUUGUACUAGUAUACAAAGACACUGUUCACAAUAGCCAGUGAGUGGAAACAACUCAAGUACAUCAGCCAAUGAAUGGAUAUAUAAAAUGUGGUACAGCAGAUGAUUAUUUGGCCAUCAAAAGGAAUGAAGUAUUGAUGCUACAACAUAACAAGCUACAAGAGAAGCAUACCUUGAAAACAGUAAGUGAAAGAAGCCAGAAGCAAACGCUGCAUAUGGUUUCAUUUGUAAGAACUGUCCAGAAUGGGCAAAUACCAGGGGCAAGAUACCAUCUAGGAGAUGUUGGAGAAUAACACAGAGUUAAAUACAGGGUUUCUUUUAGGGCAAUGAAAAUGUUCUGAAAACAGUGGUAAUAGUUAACAAAAUUGACUGUACUAUAUGCCACUGAAUUGUAUACUUUAAAAUUGUGAAAAUAAUGGAUUUUAUCUGUUUACCCCAAUUUAAGAAAAAUGAAAACAAAAAGUGUGUACUUUGGAAUUAGAUCAGUCCCAGUUGUACCAUUAAUUAACUCUGUGACCUUGGACAUGCUCA